GCAAACACUAAAUGGCAUUUGAGUGCAUUAAGCAGCAAACUCUCCGGUGACAUAGCAAUUAUGACUCUGAAAUAGAUUUGGUGCGUCACAGAAGAUAAGGGUUUUGAAAGUUUCUGUUGUGAUUAUAGCCUGUAACUCCCACAAAUAACAGGCUUCAAAAUAAGAGGCUGCCAGUGGCGCCUUUGUGGCUUUGUCUCAGUGAUGGCACGUAAAUUGCUAUUAAUGUCCUAAGUGUACUUGAAUAUGCCAGUCUUGGGGACGCAGAGUUGGCUCAGUGUCUCUCUCUACAUGGCAUGUCAUUGUUGGUCUGAUAAUCUGGGGUAAUUGCUGUCUCUUGGAUGGUCAGAAAAGUGUAAGGGGCUUUAGCUUCCUGUGUGAUGGUAAAUAGCUUCCAGGUCCACACCGUGCGUGCGUGUGUGUGUGUGUGUGUGUGUGUGUGUGUGUGCGCGCGUGUGUGUGUUCUGUGCACGGCUACCGUUCAUGGUGAAGGUGUGUAUACAAUCUCUGUGUGUGCCCUGAGUAAGUAAAAGCCUUUCAGAAAAGCCAAAGCAAAAUCAGAGGUUACAAAAAUAAAAUGAAGAACUCGGGGCUGUGGAGAAUCAGCCCGUCGGAUAAUUUAUACCGAGAGUUAAAAAAAAAAAAGUGUUUAAAAAUACCCUUUGCUUGCAUUACCCAGAUUUGGCCGUAUGAGUAGAUGCAAUGUUCUGUUGUCUUACACAGCUCCUCUUUUCCAGUAGAAGCAGCAUCUGUGUGUGUGUGCACGUGUGUGCGUGUUCCUGUAUGCAUUCUUCAGGUGUUGUGUUUUCUACGUGCGUAGUGGCUCUAUGUAAAUAUGACAGAGUGUGUCGACAUUUUGCCUGUUGGUGAACACUGUGUGUGGAUGUGUGUUAAGUGUGGAUGUGUGCUGGUUUCUGCAGGUCUGAGCGUAGAGGAUGUUUAUUCAGAUAUAAAUACUUUUCUGCACUGAGGCACCUCUAUUUAGCGAAAUCAAGCUGAACUUAUUUUCCUUGACUCUGCAAAGUUAAAUAAAACAGAUUUUUAACUCCUGAUGUACAUUUAACAUAGGGACUCCGUAAGUCGGUGGGACGUGGAAACGUUAUGUGUCACCGUCCUAUGUGCACUUUUAACAGAAAUAAGAAAGCAACCCAACGGAUGAACUUGGAAACUCACACUACUUCAUCUCCCAUGUGAGCUGUGAAAGGGUCACCCAAAACCAUCCUCUGUGUCUGAAGCGCCUUACAGGACGGUAUUGAUUGCGGGCCUUCACAACAGAUGACUUAAUAAACGAUGAAGCUUAGACGGUGCCAUCAUAGGUCUUGAUCUCAGAGUCGACCUCCAUGUGCACUUGAGUCGUGUGGUGCAGGGUGCUGGCAGGGUGGCGCCCGGUGACCAUGUGGCAGUCGAUGGUCUUGUGGUUGGGUUUUGACGGGCACCCCUCGGGCAGCAGUUAGAGUGUGUGCGAGAUAAGGUUGGAGGCAGCGACUGGUCAUGGAGAGUCCGUGCUCCUCCCAGGUCGAUGGCCACCAAAUUUACUCCACAGGUCUUCGAGCAGGACCCCGCCUUUCCGGAUAAGAUGACUUAAUAUUAACUAGCAAGAUGGCGCUACCCACAGUGGCAUAACCCCAGGGCAGUAGAGCUUGUCUUGUCCAAAACCAAGUUUGGUGAGGUGGACUGAGGCUUAGGAGUGAGCGGUAUCAGAAUCCCCUAAAAGACUCUUUUGAGGCCAUCUUGUGGCUCAUAGGUUCCGGCAUCGUCCUAAACAGCACAAAGAUUCCCUGAAGGGGAACCACAGACACGAAUCCCCUGCCUUCAGCCCUAAGCCACGCUUCGCGUGUGGUGCCCACACGUGUCACACAGCCCGACCUUUUCAAAUUUGAAGUGUCUAAAAUAGCGGCACAGAGCGGGGACUGCGUUUGGCAAAUUCUAGUUUCUGAGUCCUAGUUUCCUCACCUCACAAGUAGGAAUAGGAGCCCCCGCAGGGUUUGUGUACCAUUUGAGACUCAUCCACCAGAGCAAGAGAAUCGCUACCACAAUCCGUGCGUUACUGUGCAGUUAUCACGGACACCGGCGGCCCGACGGCCUUGCACGCACAGGGCAGGCCGCCAACGGAAGCUUUCAAAGCAUUCGUUUCUCUGUUCAUCCAACUCGAGGACUUAACCAGGCGGCUCCCGGUGAGACGUGAUCCCUGUUCUCUGAGGCCCUGUGGCUGAAUGAUCUGUGAUCUCGUUGAGACUGAAGACGAACGCCAUUCAUAUGGCCUGCAAGCCUUGGCAUGAUGGAGCCCUGCCACUCUCCGGCCCCAUCUUGCUGCCGUGGCUGCUCUUCUCCUGGUUCCAUUGCUUCUGGCCUCCUCUCAGUUCCGUGGAGCCUUGGGAAAGGAUUCUCUCUCUGCCCAGUGGCCUCUUUGCCCCUCUUUCUACUUGUCUGUAUCCGCUCACCUCUGGGCUGACUUCCCAGAAGCCUGAGUGCAAUGAGGUCCCUACUAUAUUCUCUCCUCGCACUCACUACCACCUAGAAUCUACGUUUGUCCUUUUGACAAGUUAUCCAAUGUCUGUGUCCCACGAGGCAGGACACAUGAGGUGUGUCCCACGAGGUGGGACAAUGUCUGUGUCCCACGAGGCAGCGGGAGAGCAGAUGUCAGAUGUGUCGUAUCUACCACUGUAUGCCCGGUGCGUAGCACGGGGCAGGCACUGGAGACGUAUUUGUGGAUCAGAAUGAAAUGGUGACCUUGAGGAAGAGCCGGUACUCACAUAGACCUUUAAAUAAAUAAGAGCUGCAUAUGGUUAAAAGUCAACAUGAAGGGUCAGAAAGUCGGGGGUCCUGGCAUUUAGGGAAGUGGGUGAUGGUGUGCCUUGAAAGAGGAAGGAGGUGGCUCUCUGGCCAGGCCGUGGAAGAUGACGCGGGUUUCUAGAGGCCAGAGGACAGGGGCGGGCAAAGGCCAAGAGCCUCUCACUGGACUUCAUCUGUAGAGCAACAGGGACCCUCACUUGGGCAGUGGGCGAUCUGUUAUUCAGCCGAAACUACUGAAGUCUCGGUUAGCAAGGGUAUCUGUUCUCUACCAGGAACGGCUGAUUUGUCUUAACAUAUACAGACCUUUCAGGGCAAAAUCUCGAGGCUCGAGAAACUGCGGUGGGGCCUGCCUAGAAAGGGAGGGCAUGGUGGGACCCGGCUGGAAGGUCACCAGGGACUGACCGAGUGGCAGGUGGCAACCAGGGAGGACACCCUCCGCGGUCAGGGGACCAUGGAAACAGGGAUUCUGGGGCCAGCAGCAUGGGGAUAAUCCAAGCAGAGGGUUGACUCCGGGGAAACAUGAUGGCAGGUGGGAGUUGGUGAGCUGAGGCUCCAGAGCAAGCUUCGAGUUGCAAGAGCAAGUCACGAUCUCGGUCUUAGCCGAGCUGGCAGAAAUAGCGGGAAUUUACGCGGAAGCUGGCCGUGGAUUUGGCAGAGGUGGCUUUAGCCGCAGAAGAGAAGUACCUGCGCAAAGAAGCAGGUGCAAGAGGUCAGAGCAGGACAAGCAGCAAAAUUGAUUCUGAGUUGCCUGGGGUACCCGGGUGAGCCAGAAUGGAAUCUUUUGGGUUGAGUGUACCUGUUAUUCCCCAGCAGGGAUGCCCAGAUCUAGUGAGUGUAGACACUGCACGGGACAGAUGUACACUAAACAGUUACUUGUUGUUUAUCCCGGCUUUGGGAGGCGUCCUCCUCCAUUUUCUCUGGCGGCUCCAUUCCCAGACCCCAAGGUGGUAGAAGCUGGAUCUGCAUGGGAGUCUCAGCCUCAGAGAGGAUAAAGAUGGGAAAAGCCCCUGCAGGCCACACAGGGACUGUGUCUGUUCCGUACAUUUCCGUGAACCCCACUAAGCCGGAGGAGGCAACGGGGAGGCCAGUCCAGAUGCCAGGCCCUCCCCGUGCCCUUUGGAGAACAGCCCUUGUUGACAUGGUGAGCUAAGCUGUGGAGCCACGACAGGCAGGAUCCAGUGUCUGGGUUUGUUGUUGUUUUUUUUUCCAACUGUUUUUUAAAGGAACAGUACAGAACAGUAUGAAUAUUAAUCAUAUAGUUCCUUAUUUGGGAUCUGGGGUGAAAUACCAGAUCUCCUUGAUGUCUGCUGAGUAAGAGAAGAGUUCACUUCCUGGAUGCAGACAUCACCCUGCAACCUGGCACUGCCUCUGCCUUAUCGCUUGAGUAGCUUCUCGGCGCUCACAAGCUCUUUCCUUGUAGUCAGACUAAACCGCGGAGGUCCCGGAUCUGCUACCGUGGAUCCCUCCAAGCCCACAAUGGAGAAGGAACGUUGGAGUGCCUGCCGUUGAACGUUUAUGUGCUUCUUCGUAGGCCCCUCCAAGAGAUAUUUAUUAAAGUCUGUGCUGUGGCAGGCACUGUGACAGGCACUUCGGAAGCAAAGUUCCACAGCCCAGCCGUCGUGGUCUGAUGAGUGAGGCAGACAUAUAGAAGAACACAUGCAAUAUGGCCGCCCGGGUACUGUGAUACAGGUGCAUACAGAGAACGUGGGCGGGGGGUGGGGGGGAACCCGCAGGAGGAAGAGACAUUGCCGGGGGCAGAUAGGGGCACAAGGAUACUUAACUUCAGUCUUGAAGAACAGUACAAGGUGUGAGUGGCAUGUCAUUGGAUAAUUGGGGUCUUCAAGGGGAAAGAAGCAGGCAUGAACUGACUCCUCUGUUCCGGGAAUUUCUUAGCAGCCUGCUAACGGUUGAAGUAUGAAACACAAGGGUUGCGUUGGAGAGUGAGCAAGAUCAAGGACAUUGUGGGCCUGAUGAGGACACUCAACCUCAUCUGGAGGCUAAUGAGAAGCCACUGAAGGUGAAAGAGGGAGAUCACAAUUACAUGUUGGGAAGAUCACUCUGGGGGCAGCUGGAGGGAGGACCAGAGGUUGUCAGAGUGGGCCGGCACCUACUAACCGUUGUCAGACUUUCCGGGGAAACUUUGACUGUUUUGUCCCCAAGGGCAAAUGCUCGGGGUAUAAUCUUGGGAAAAGUGUGCGCAUAUCAGGAAAACAUUGUUCUUCGAGCUUCUUGGAAAAGUGGUCGAUCUAGGAUGUGGCCCCGCCUAGUGAGCCAACAUCCCUGCUGAUGAGUGGUGGCUAUGUGUGUUUGUCUGUGCAUGCCUGUCCGCAUGGAGAGGGAGCACACAUCCCCGUUUCUUUUGUUUUUCUUCUGGCCGGCCCCACCAGUGCCGGGCCUUUGGGGGCCUGGAGCACGUCCGCCUCCCCACCCACGCCGAAGGCAUCUCUGGUAAUGGCAUCUGGCCCAUAUGCACAUCGAGCUCUCCUUGGUGCUGACAUCAGCCAGUUUGUGGCACCUCAGCGUAUUUCUGGGUUGCAAAUGAGAGUUUCUUAGUGCCAGGCUUCGCUCGGGCUGUCACAUCAGGUGAUGAAUUCUCUGCAUCAACGGUGUGCUGCUAAGGAGGUUCCAUGAUGAGCCCGCUGCUGGCUUAGGCCUCAUCUGGUGGAAUUAAAUGUGAGAUCAGGCCCCGCUUCCAGGCCACAGGCCGCAGAAUUUCCUGUACGACUAGCUGCGAAUGUAAAGGCUCCUGCAGGAGGCAUGUUCCUAGAGAUAACAAGGGCACACUUGGUUUUGCAGAUUUCACCUUCCCACCCCCGUGAGGCCUCAGUGCGUUUCCGACAUCAGCAUUUUGAAGGGAGUGUGUCUGUUCUAAAGGGAGGUUUGCAUCCGAAGAUGAGCGAAGGCGGAAGUUGGGGCGCAGAAGAAAAAUCAGGAGGAAAGUCUUAUUUCUUGCCACCCCCCGCCCCCACGGUCGCUAAUGAGACCAUCCUCCCUGCUCCCUGCGCCCGCCCCAGAGAUAAAUAAACACACAAAGGCGGAGUUUCCUACUUAAUAUGCACCCGCAGUCAGGAACCGGGAAGGAAUUGCUCCCCAGGGUUAACGUGGCAGUAAGCGAGGUCAGCUGUUUCCCAAGACGGAGCAGCCUCUGGACGGCUUGCAUUAAGGCUGGAACAGCGCCGCCGAAGCAGCCAGAGUGAUUUACGGGAAACCUGGCGAAGUUGGGCUUGCUCGCAGUUUCUGAUCACGGAGGUUUUAGCGGGGGGCGCGGGGGUGGGGGGAGUAGUUACAGGAAUACAGGACUUCAGUGUUAAUGCUGAGGGGCCCCGGGCACAAGGCGAUAGCUGGCCGCCCGAUCUGAAGUUGUGUGUGUCUGCGUGUGUGUUUAUGGAUAGAGGGGGAGUGAAAGAAAAGAGAUUGAUUUUAUUUAUUUUUAAGAGGUCUUAUAUAUUCUUCCUCACCGGGCCAGCUAGGAUAAUUAAGAUGCCAGUUUUGGUAUCAGCUUGAACUGAUUCCUGUCUCUACCAUCUGUGAGUUUCCUGUACCCUCUGGCAUCGUGUGCGCUGGUCCGAGAAAACAAAACUUUUUCAAACGUC